UACAGAGGUGGCAAGCGUUUGUUCGGAAUUACUGGGCGUAAAGGGCGCGUAGGCGGCUCUAUCAAGUCAGACGUGAAAUCCCCCGGCUCAACCUGGGAACUGCGUCUGAUACUGGACGGCUUGAGUUUGGGAGAGGGAUGUAGAAUUCCAGGUGUAGCGGUGAAAUGCGUAGAUAUCUGGAGGAAUACCGGUGGCGAAGG
rnacentral:rRNA from 1 species